ensembl:lncRNA
AUUGGCUUUACGUCAUCACUGGACGAGAAAUGAACGUUUUAUUGUAUAAUUCACAUUAUGCAUGGACAAAAUAAUCUGAUCACAGUGUAAAAAAAAAAAAAAAAAAACUUUCAGAGCGUUUUAUUUCAUUAAAUUUAAAGACAAAUUUAAAUACUUUUAAAAUAAAAGAACUAGCCAUGGCUGAUGUAAUCCUUGCGUCAGCUGUGGAGUAAUGUUUUGACGAUAUUGCGACUUGUGUGAAAUGCUGCAUGAUGAUGGUGUAGAUGUAAAGUAGUCCUCGGUGAGUCACACGGCAUGAGCUCUCCUCUAACCAGUCUAGGCAGGUCCGAGCACAAAAGAUCACAUGACCCUCAUUGUACCCUUCGUUUGUACCCUUCAGCACUCAUCUCACACAGGCUUUAAACAGGACGCGUUUCUUCCUUUCCGUCUGCAACGGCCUCGUAAACAACUGCUCGUGGAGUCACGUCUCCGGCUCCAGUUCCCAGGGAACUGUUCUGCGAUCAUAGAAUAGAGUGGCGUAGUAGAGUAGAACAGAGUACAGUAGAAUAAAGUAGAGUAGAGUAUAAUGGAUUAGUACUGAGUAUAAUACAGUAUAUUAUAAUAGAGUACACUAGAGUGGAAUAGAGCUGAGUAUAUUAGAGUAGAACAGUGUGAUUGAAUAGAACAGAAUAGAGUACAGUAGAGUAGAACAGAGCAGAGUAUAUUAGAGUAGAACGGACUAGAAUAGAACAGUAUAAUUGGGUAUAAUGGGAGUAGAGUGGAACAGUAUAAUAGAGUAGAGUUUAUUAGAGUAGAACAGUAUAAUAGAGUAGAACAGUAUAACAGAGUAGAACAGAACAGUAUAAUAGAGUAGAGUUUAUUAGAGUAGAACAGUAUAAUAGAGUAGAACAGUAUAAUAGAGUAGAACAGUAUAACAGAGUAGAACAGAACAGUAUAAUAGAGUAGAGUUGAAUAGAAUAGAACAGUAUAAUAGAGUUGAAUAGAGUAGAACAGUAGAAUAGAGUUGAAUAGAGUAGAACAGUAGAAUAGAGUAGAAUAGAGUAGAACAGUAGAAUAGAGUAGAACAGAACAGUAUAAUAGAGUAGAACAGAACAGUAUAAUAGAGUAGAACAGUAUAAUAGAGUAGAACAGAACAGUAUAAUAGAGUAGAGCAGUAUAUUAGAGUAGAGUUUAUUAGAGUAGAACAUUAUAAUAGAGUAGAGUUUAUUAGAGUAGAACAGUAUAAUAGUAGAGUUUAUUAGAGUAGAACAGUAUAAUAGAGUAGAGUUUAGUAGAACAGAACAGUAUAAUAGAGUAGAACAGAACAGUAUAAUAGAGUAUAAUAGAGUAGAGCAGUAUAUUAGAGUAGAGUAUAUUGGACUAGAACAGUAGAAUGGAGUAGAAUAUGAAUGGAGCACAUAUGAAUAAGAAUAAAUUAGAAUAGAGUAGAAUGGAAUAGAAUAGAGUACAGUAGAGUGUAUGGAAUACGAAUAGAAAUGAAGUAAGUAGUAUGUGUAUUGAGAAAAGUAUCGAGGAAAAAAGUAGAGUAAAAUAUAAACAGCAUUGAGUGGAAGAGGAAUUUAAAUAGAAUAUUAAAUGAAUUAAAUAGAGUGAAGUUAGAAGGUAGGACAGAGUAGAAUGUGAAUAGAAUAGUGUAGAGUAUGGAAUUAAAUAGUCUAGAAUGUGAAUAGAAUAGUGUAGAGUAUGGAAUUAAAUAGUCUAGAAUGUGAAUAGAAUAGUGUAAAGACGCUAAUGUCGCUAACAGGUAAUGGAAACAUGGCCACUGGUUUAGCAUUGUGUCUAAAUCAGCACACGGUCGCCUAUAAUGCUCAGUAACACAAUUUGUAUAUAAAACAGUAGAAUAAAUCUGUAUUCAAAGUGUGUGUGUGUGUGUGUGUGUGUGUGUGUGUGUGUGUGUGUGUGUGUGUGUAAAACUGCCCGGGAGGUAAAACUAAACCUGGUGUCGUUACUGAACACCUGGUGUGUUCUCUUGCUCAACUGGUGUUAUGCAAACCCCC